rnacentral:rRNA from 1 species
GACGAACGCUGGCGGCGUGCCUAAUACAUGCAAGUCGAACGCACUCUCGUUUAGAUUGAAGGAGCUUGCUCCUGAUUGAUAAACAUUUGAGUGAGUGGCGGACGGGUGAGUAACACGUGGGUAACCUGCCCUAAAGUGGGGGAUAACAUUUGGAAACAGAUGCUAAUACCGCAUAAAACCUAAACACCGCAUGGUGUAGGGUUGAAAGAUGGUUCGGCUAUCACUUUAGGAUGGACCCGCGGUGCAUUAGUUAGUUGGUGAGGUAAAGGCUCACCAAGACCGUGAUGCAUAGCCGACCUGAGAGGGUAAUCGGCCACACUGGGACAGAGACACGGCCCAGACUCCUACGGGAGGCAGCAGUAGGGAAUCUUCCACAAUGGACGAAAGUCUGAUGGAGCAACGCCGCGUGAGUGAAGAAGGUUUCGGAUCGUAAAACUCUAGUUGUUGGAGAAGAAUGUAUCUGAUAGUAACUGAUCAGGUAGUGAC